GUGUUAAAUAAACUGUAUAGCUUAAAAAUGGAAUGAAAUGUAACCUUAGUAAGAAACCCAGAUCCUGACGUACCGUCUACAGGUAUAGCCUCCUAUAUUAUUACGUACUUUAAACAUCAUAGUCAUUCGGAGUUGUGUAGAUUUUCCAGAACAUGUUUCAUUUCAGAUGAAUUUCACGCCCGCUUUUCUCGUAGCUGUCGCCGCAUUCGCUGUAUUACUUGAUGGCGCACUAGCAGAACUCCUUCCUCCCAGACGUAUUUGGCCUGGGAGACACCAUGAUGGCGUUUAACACCAUGGGUUUAAGGGACCCCACCGGGUGACAGGGGCGCUGUACUGUCCGGGGGUUCUAUUACCUACAUUUCCUUCCCUGGUUAAGAUUAUACCUUUUACAAAUCAAUUCCAUCAAUACUGUACAAAAAAUCUCAAAACAAAAGUAAAUGUUUCAACAAUU